AUUGAACGCUGGCGGCAGGCCUAACACAUGCAAGUCGAGCGAGCGGCGGAGGGGUGAGUAAUGUCUGGGAAACUGUCUGUUGGAGGGGGAUCACUACUGGAAACGGUAUGUAAUCCCGCGUUCCAUCCGCUGUGCCCAGAGGGGAUUAGCUAGUAGGUGGGGUAACGGCUCACCUAGGCGACGAUCCCUAGCUGGUCUGAGAGGUUGACCAGCCACACUGGAACUGAGACACGGUCCAGACUCCUACGGGAGGCAGCAGUGGGGAAUAUUGCACAAUGGGCGCAAGCCUGAUGCAGCCAUGCCGCGUGUGUGAAGAAGGCCUUCGGGUUGUAAAGCACUUUCAGCGGGGAGGCGUUACCCGCAGAAGAAGCACCGGCUAACUCCGUGCCAGCAGCCGCGGUAAUUC
rnacentral:rRNA from 1 species